rnacentral:rRNA from 1 species
GCAAGUCGAGCGGGAUCUGUACGACCGAUCUCUUCGGAGUGAAGAUGUUCAGUGAGAGCGGCGAACGGGUGAGUAACACGUUGGUAUCUGCCCCCAAGUCAGGGAUAGCCAUUGGAAACGAUGAUUAAUACCGGAUAGUCUCUACGGAGUAAAAAUUUAUUGCUUGGGGAGGAACCUGCGUUCUAUCAGCUUGUUGGUAAGGUAACGGCUUACCAAGGCUAUGACGGGUAGCGGGUUUGAGAGGAUGAUC